rnacentral:rRNA from 1 species
GACGAACGCUGGCGGCGUGCUUAACACAUGCAGGUCGAACGCUGAAGCUCAGCUUUUGUUGGGUGGAUGAGUGGCGAACGGGUGAGUAACACGUGAGUAACCUGCCUCCUUCUUUGGGAUAACGCCCGGAAACGGGUGCUAAUACUGGAUAUUCACUGGUCUUCGCAUGGGGGUUGGUGGAAAGGGUUUUUCUGGUGGGGGAUGGGCUCGCGGCCUAUCAGCUUGUUGGUGGGGUGAUGGCCUACCAAGGCUUUGACGGGUAGCCGGCCUGAGGGGGUGACCGGUCACAUUGGGACUGAGAUACGGCCCAGACUCCUACGGGAGGCAGCAGUGGGGAAUAUUGCACAAUGGGCGCAAGCCUGAUGCAGCGACGCCGCGUGAGGGAUGGAGGCCUUCGGGUUGUGAACCUCUUUCGCUCAUGGUCAAGCCGCAACAAUGGUUGUGGUGAGGGUAGUGGGUAAAGAAGCGCCGGCUAACUACGUG